ACUCAAAAGAUCAUGUUGUUACAACUGAAAAAAAAAAUCUGCUUUUCUGCAGAAGCACCCCUCCCUGGAGGGAGCAGGUACCUUAAAGUUUAGUUUGAAUGGGGAGAGGAUCAUGGGCAAAAAGGAAGGACUAGAAGUGAAAAAAAGAACAUAUAAGAAUAUUACCUACAAAAAAGGACACUGGAACUUGGAAUGUAUGAUUAGCAUCUAUUGUGUACUCUGGGUUCUUAAUUUUAGUCUGGUGUUCUGUUUUUACUUUCUGAAUAUUAUUUGCAUAUGUCCUACAGGGAAAAGGAAAGCUGGUGGCAGUGAGAGAUGGCUCACUGGCACGGACUCUGUGUGAUGAAGAUGUGGCCUUGUAAAUCUGAUUUGGGGUUAAGAAUUGGUACAACUAUAACUCUGGACAUAAUAGAUCAAACAAACCUAAGAAGACUCUGGAAAGCGAAGAGCAGAGGCAGACCAGCUAGAGACCUCAGGACCCGAGGAAUGACUUGGUGAGAACUUCAAGUACCUCCUAGGCAUCACGUUUUGGGACAUCAGGAAGCAUAUUUACAAUGGUAAAUAUCUGGACAAUUAAAGGCACCACUUAAUUAAUCUGACCCAAAGCCCAACAGGUGCUCGAAUGUGGCAGUUAGGGAUCUUGCCUGGAUCCUCCCUCUGCGGCUCCUCCUGCACGCCUGCCCUUGUCAGUGUUGGGCUGAAACCUCCUUUUAAGGAAUGAUCAGGUCAGGGCAGGUUAUCUCACUGAGUGGAAGGAGAAGGGUGUGGAGAAUUAACUGAGCAAGGAAGGGGGGCCUGGAUCCUGCCGGGAGAAGCCAGAGAAGAGAAAGGCGCCCCCAGACUACCUUACUCAGGACGAACUAGCUAAACCUGCUGGAGUCUCUAACAUUUAGCCGCUGUGAAAAUCCCAGCACAGAGGGACCAUCCCAGGCCAAGCCUGCCCCAAGAUAAACUGCCUUCGCAAAAGCUUUAGUUGGCAUUAUCCUCAUGAAAUUACAUAAUGUUCUUUAACAUCUAUCCCCUUCUUUGUUGACUGCCUGGAUCUAUGUGUAUAAAGGUCCUGUAACGCAAGGGGGAGAAUUUUACCUACAUGACAGCUAAAAGUGAAAGCACCGAG